AACUCUCUCUUUCUCUCUUCUGCAACCUCCUCUUUCACCACCUCUAGACCACCAAAUGGCGAGCUGCGAGCAUCGAUAGACUCGUCUCUUCCUCCUUAUCACGCAUGUGGGAGUUGUUUACGACGAUUUGGCCGGAAAUGUGGAGAUCGAAGCCAACAUUUUUACUGUAGCAAAUUAGUCAACGCCGAUUUCCGGCCACCUCCAGUCAUAAACCCAGGUCCAUUAGAAGCGCCUUAAGCCGCUCUUCAUGCUCGCCAAGUCUCAUAACCCAGAUCGAAGCAUGGAGGAAGAAAGCAUAAUUGGAAAAUUUCACUGUACAUCGGAGUGCUUAAUUGUUCGGCUACUUCAAGGUGAUUGACGGUUUGAGUUGGUGGACGAUUGUGGAUCGUAUUUUGAGCUGAAUUGAAGACGCAGCGGGAUUAUCGAGCGGGUAAUCCUACAGGACAGGAGAACCAGGACGGUGACCGUGCGGUUAGAGCAAUUGUUAGAGUUUUACAGCAAUUGUAAGUUGUGAGGUGUGUUAUGCUCAUUUAGAGCUUUACAAUAUUGCUUGUGAGAGUGAAUUGUAAUAAUGAACUCGAGGUUUCGAGAUUUGGAGUUUGUGUACCUUGUGGUGAGAUUAUAUUGAGAAAAAAAUUCAGAACGUUUAUUUGAUUAAGUGGUUUAAUUCAUGUUUCGGAUUUGAAUUUAUUAUUCAAAAUUCGGGGCGUGACAGUUUGGUAUCAGAGCGUAAGGUACAUAUUUGGUGAUAAUCAGUACCUCCCGAGUGAUGGCCCGUCUGCAGCGGAUCCCCAUCAUAUACUCUUCGGUACUGGUAAAAUCAUUGGGUAUGUCUUAGUAUGGGGUCUAGACAACGUGUAAGUCCGUAGGACGGUAGAGUUGUCUACUAAGUUCGUAUUAGAAUAAGUUUAGUUUCCGCGAGUUGUGAUCUUCGAGGAAUAGGAACCUCUGGAUUUAACUCUGAUGAGUCGGUGAGGUAGAGGUCGAGUCUGAUGUAGGGACAUGACCUUUCUAUGGAGACAGUUGAGGAUGAGGUGGAGGCAUUAGAGGUUGAGUUGCCUAGUCUACCUGUAGUUGAUGUGAUGGAUGUUAUUCUUGGGUUGAAAUGGUGAAAGAGAUUGAGACCCUAGGAAUAGUUGAAAAGAGAAUUGAUCUCACCAACUCAAGAUGAUAGGAGUGUGAGAGAUUAUGAGACAGAAUUCUCAAGACUAUAUUGGUGUUCGAGUGUAGUGAUGUAAUUUGGGAGAUACUUAUGUUACCUUUAAUAAGGGUAGUAUGUCAAGUGAUCAUGGCAUAGGUUGACUUUGUAAGUGAAGUGGUGGAGCUUGUGUAGCUUCUUUGAGUUAUCACCUUUGAGGAAUGGGAACCUUUGGAUUAAACUCUGGUGGAGUUAUUGAGGAUGGUUUUCACGAAAAACAGUAUCCUUAUGUGCAUUGUAGUCGUUGGUUGUUGGGGUCAUGGUGUUUGACCAAUGCUUGUAUCUAAAGUCGUUACGAGUAUUUGACUAGUAGUUGUGAUACUUUCCAUUAGUUGGAUAUGCAGAUGUUUUGAGUUGAAGAAUACUUAGCAGUUAUUGGUUGCUUAGUGAUGGAAUUGUGUUAUAAUGGAGCAUUCAUUCAUGCACAGUUGUUUGGUGUUUAGGAUAGCUACUAUAUAUUAGCUAAAU